rnacentral:rRNA from 1 species
UUUCUUGUGUGACCGCGUACUUUUUGUAGAACGGGCCAACGAGUUACGUUAAGUAGCAAGGUUAAGCACUUAAGGUGCGGAGCCGUAGCGAAAGCGAGUUUUAACUGAGCGUUCAGUUACUUGACGUAGACCCGAAACCGGGCGACCUACCCAUGAGCAGGAUGAAGCGAAAGUAAAAUUUCGUGGAGGUCCGAACCCACGAGCGUUGAAAAGCUCGGGGAUGACUUGUGGGUAGCGGUGAAAUUCCAAUCGAGCCCGGAGAUAGCUGGUUCUCCCCGAAAUAGCUUUAGGGCUAGCCUCAAGGUGAGAGAUACGGAGGUAGAGCACUGAAUGUCCUAGGGGGUAUUGCACCUACCGAAGACUAUCAAACUCCGAAUGCCGUCAUCUUAUACUUGGGAGUCAGACUGUGGGUGAUAAGAUUCAUAGUCGAAAGGGCAACAGCCCAGAUCGUCAGCUAAGGUCCCUAAAUGUAAGUUAAGUGGUAAAGGAUGUGGGAUUGCACAGACAACCAGGAUGUUGGCUUAGAAGCAGCCACUCAUUCAAAGAGUGCGUAAUAGCUCACUGGUCGAGUGAUCCUGCGCCGAAGAUUUCCGGGGCUAAAACUUACUACCGAAGCUACGGCAUCAGUAAUGAUGGGUAGGGGAGCUUCCCAUACGGGUUGAAGCAUGACCGUAAGGACAUGUGGACAGUAUGGGAGUGAGAAUGUUGGCAUGAGUAGCGAGAUGUGGGUGAGAAUCCCACAGGCCGUAAACCCAAGGUUUCCAGGGGAAGGUUCGUCCGCCCUGGGUUAGUCGGGACCUAAGCUGAGGCCGAAAGGCAUAGGUGAUGGACAACAGGUUGAUAUUCCUGUACUACCGAUAACCGUUUGAGAGAUGGGAUGACACAGUAGGAUAAGCUAAGCACACUGUUGGUUAUGUGUGCCCAAGCAUUGAGGCAGUCAAAGUAGGCAAAUCCGCUUUGAUAAUGCUGGGAUGUGAUGGGGAGCGAAAUUUAGUAGCGAAGUAGCUGAUUUCACACUGUCAAGAAAAGUCUCUAUCGAGGUUAAAGGUACCCGUACCGCAAACCGACACAGGUGGGUGAGGAGAGUAUCCUAAGGCCAGCGAGAGAACUGUUGUUAAGGAACUCGGCAAAAUGACCCCGUAACUUAGGGAUAAGGGGUGCCACCAUCAGGUGGCCGCAGAGAAUAGGCCCAAGCGACUGUUUACCAAAAACAUAGGUUUCUGCUAAGUCGCAAGACGAUGUAUAGGAGCUGACGCCUGCCCGGUGCUGGAAGGUUAAGGGGAUCUGUUAGAGCAAUCGAAGCAGUGAACUUAAGCCCCAGUAAACGGCGGCCGUAACUAUAACGGUCCUAAGGUAGCGAAAUUCCUUGUCGGGUAAGUUCCGACCCGCACGAAAGGCGUAACGAUUUGGGCACUGUCUCAACAACAGACUCGGUGAAAUUGUAAUUCCGGUGAAGAUGCCGGAUACCUGCGACAGGACGGAAAGACCCCAUGGAGCUUUACUGUAGCUUGACAUUGGGUCUUGGUACUACAUGUACAGGAUAGGUGGGAGGCUUUGAAACCAGGACGCCAGUUUUGGCGGAGCCAUCCUUGGGAUACC